UGGCCCUGGUCAGGUGGAGGUCUUCAAAACCGGCGGCGGUCU
rnacentral:tRNA from 1 species